GACGAACCGUGCGAACGUUGUUCGGAUUCACUGGGCUUAAGGCGCGUAGGCGGGCGACCAAGUCAGGGGUGAAAUCUUUCGGCCCAACCGGAAAAGUGCCCCUGAUACUGGCCGCCUCGAGGGGGGUAGGGGCAUGCGGAACUUCCGGUGGAGCGGUGAAAUGCGUAGAUAUCGGAAGGAACGCCGGUGGCGAAAGCGGCGUGCUGGACCCCUUCUGACGCUGAGGCGCGAAAGCCAGGGGAGCAAACGGG
rnacentral:rRNA from 1 species